rnacentral:lncRNA from 1 species
CUCUCUUCUUUCCUACCCAACAUCACUCACCAUCUCUGUCAUCCUAAACCUCCCAAUCAUUGCCCUAACAGUCAUGGUUGUGCUGCUCGGUCGCCUUAGAAAAUUAUACGACAACAACCUUCCCUACCCCACAUCUACACCAAAGUCAAGUUGAACCCUUCUCGGGUUUAUUCACCUUCUUCCCUACCCAACAUCACUCACCAUCUCUGUCAUCCUAAACCUCCCAAUUGUUGCCCUAACAGUCAUGGUUGUGCUGCUCGGUCGCCUUAGAAAAUUAUACGACAACAACCUUCCCCACCCCACAUCUGCACCAAAGUCAAGUUGAACCCUUCUCGGGUUUAUUCACCUUCUUCCCUACCCAACAUCAUUCACCAUCUCUGUCAUCCUAAACCUCCUAAUUGUUGCCCUAACAGUCAUGGUUGUGCUGCUCGGUCGCCUUAGAAAAUUAUACGACAACAACCUUCCCCACCCCGCAUCUACACCAAAGUCAAGUUGAACCCUUCUCGGGUUUAUUCACCUUCUUCCCUACCCAACAUCACUCACCAUCUCUGUCAUCCUAAACCUCCCAAUUGUUGCCCUAACAGUCAUGGUUGUGCUGCUCGGUCGCCUUAGAAAAUUAUACGACAACAACCUUCCCCACCCCCACAUCUACACCAAAGUCAAGUUGAACCAUUCUCGGGUUUAUUCACCUUCUUCCCUACCCAACAUCACUCACCAUCUCUGUCAUCCUAAACCUCCCCAAUCGUUGCCCUAACAGUCAUGGUUGUGCUGCUCAGUCGCCUUAGAAAAUUAUACGACAACAAC